rnacentral:tRNA from 1 species
GAUAUAGCUCAGUGGCAGAGCACACGCUUAGCAUGCAUGAGGUUCUGGGUUCUGUCCCCAGUUUC